rnacentral:rRNA from 1 species
CUCUGGGUCCACCUCCCACCCGUGUUUAUUUUACCUUGUUGCUUCGGCGGGCCCGCCUUAACUGGCCGCCGGGGGGCUUACGCCCCCGGGCCCGCGCCCGCCGAAGACACCCUCGAACUCUGUCUGAAGAUUGUAGUCUGAGUGAAAAUAUAAAUUAUUUAAAACUUUCAACAACGGAUCUCUUGGUUCCGGCAUCGAUGAAGAACGCAGCGAAAUGCGAUACGUAAUGUGAAUUGCAAAUUCAGUGAAUCAUCGAGUCUUUGAACGCACAUUGCGCCCCCUGGUAUUCCGGGGGGCAUGCCUGUCCGAGCGUCAUUUCUGCCCUCAAGCACGGCUUGUGUGUUGGGCCCCGUCCUCCGAUCCCGGGGGACGGGCCCGAAAGGCAGCGGCGGCACCGCGUCCGGUCCUCGAGCGUAUGGGGCUUUGUCACCCGCUCUGUAGGCCCGGCCGGCGCUUGCCGAUCAACCCAAAUUUUUAUCCAGGUUGACCUCGGAUCAGGUAGGGAUACCCGCUGAACUUAAGCAUAUCAAU